GAUGAAGACGUAGCGAAAUGCGAUAAGUAAUGUGAAUUGCAGAAUUCAGUGAAUCAUCGAAUCUUUGAACGCACAUUGCGCCCCCUGGUAUUCCGGGGGGCAUGCCUGUUCGAGCGUCAUUUCACCACUCAAGCCUCGCUUGGUAUUGGGCAACGCGGUCCGCCGCGUGCCUCAAAUCGACCGGCUGGGUCUUCUGUCCCCUAAGCGUUGUGGAAACUAUUCGCUAAAGGGUGUUCCGGAGGCUACGCCGUAAAACAACCCCAUUUCUAAGGUUGACCUCGGAUCAGGUAGGGAUACCCGCUGAACUUAAGCAUAUCAAUAAGCGGAGGA
rnacentral:misc_RNA from 1 species